rnacentral:rRNA from 1 species
AUUGAACGCUGGCGGCAGGCCUAACACAUGCCAGUCGAGCGGAUGAAGGGAGCUUGCUCCUGGAUUCAGCGGCGGACGGGUGAGUAAUGCCUAGGAAUCUGCCUGGUAGUGGGGGAUAACGUCCGGAAACGGGCGCUAAUACCGCAUACGUCCUGAGGGAGAAAGUGGGGGAUCUUCGGACCUCACGCUAUCAGAUGAGCCUAGGUCGGAUUAGCUAGUUGGUGGGGUAAAGGCCUACCAAGGCGACGAUCCGUAACUGGUCUGAGAGGAUGAUCAGUCACACUGGAACUGAGACACGGUCCAGACUCCUACGGGAGGCAGCAGUGGGGAAUAUUGGACAUGGGCGAAAGCCUGAUCCAGCCAUGCCGCGUGUGUGAAGAAGGUCUUCGGAUUGUAAAGCACUUUAAGUUGGGAGGAAGGGCAGUAAGUUAAUACCUUGCUGUUUUGACGUUACCAACAGAAUAAGCACCGGCUAACUUCGUG